CUUACAAUUGCGAUGGGGGGACGGAGAAGGCUAGGUGGGCCUGGCGACGGUUGUCCAGGUUCAAGUGCGUAGGCUUAAGAGUUAGGUAAAUCCGGCUCUUUUUAAGGCUGAGACACGACGUCGAGCACCUACGGGUGUGAAGUCAUUGAUGCCAUGCUUCCAGGAAAAGCCUCUAAGCUUCAGAUUGUAAGGAAUCGUACCCCAAACCGACACAGGUGGUCGGGUAGAGAAUACCAAGGCGCUUGAGAGAACUCGGGUGAAGGAACUAGGCAAAAUGGUACCGUAACUUCGGGAGAAGGUACGCUCUCGACGGUGAAGUCCCUCGCGGAUGGAGCUAUUGAGAGUCGCAGAUACCAGGUGGCUGCAACUGUUUAUUAAAAACACAGCACUGUGCAAAAUCGUAAGAUGACGUAUACGGUGUGACGCCUGCCCGGUGCCGGAAGGUUAAUUGAUGGGGUUAGACUUC
rnacentral:rRNA from 1 species